rnacentral:lncRNA from 1 species
AUGCGGAGGCGCGCGGGGCACCGGGGGCCCCUGGAGCCGGCCCCGCUCGGCCGGGCGCCCACCGCGCGGAGGGCAGCGCCCCGCGGCCGUCCCCCAGCUCCCGCAAGGGUCGCCCGGGCCGGCGGGACACAAUGGGGCGGCGGGCGGCGGGCGGCGCGCACGGGCCUCGGCCCGGCUGCGGAGGGGGAAAGAGGGCGGGAGGGGAGGUCCCGCGGCGGCCGGCGCCGGGGAGAGGCUCGGGCGGAGGAGCGCGGCUUCCCCACGGCUGAGCCAACAAAGACGCGAGGAGAACGGCGCCGAGCCCCGCCUGGCCGGCCGGGCGCCACAGCGGGAGCGGGAGCGGGAGCGGGAGCGGGAGGCGGUGGCAGGUCCGCUCCUCGGCGCGGCCGGGAGGCGCCAUCAUGGGGGGGGGCCCGGCCCGGCCCGCCCCGCGCGGGGAAGAGCCCCCUGCCCGCCGCGGCCCGCGUCACCGGCCCCGCGCUCACCCCACGGGAGGCGGCGGCGGCGCUGGAAAGCAAGCGCCGGGCGCCGAAGGAGGGCGGGGACGCGGCCAAGGAGAAAGUUGGGUGCGGGUCUGUUUCGUUUUACCGGGUUGGCGGCGCGCCCGUCCGCGCGGGCGCACGAGGGGCCGGACGAGCGGGGUCCCGCGGCCCCGGUCCGGCCGGCGGGGCGCUGCGCUCGCAGGGUGCCUCCCCGCGCCUCGGCCCGGGCUCGGCCGCUCGGCCUCCGCUUCCUCCGCCCGCCCGCCCGCUCCCGGAGCCUGGAUUGAUCUGGUCGCGCUGGCGUCAGGGAGUCGGAGCCGCCCAGCCUCCACUCGGCGGCUGCCAACAGCCGGCGCACUCGCCCGCCCGCCCGCCCGCUCGCUCGCUCGCCCGCCCGCCCGCCUGCUCACACGCGCACCCGCGCGCCGCCGCCGCCGCCGCCGCCGCGCGACCAGGGAUCCUCUCCAAAUUCCCGGCCGCUGAGCGCGAGCGCGGGGCCGCGGGGCCGCGGGGCCGGCCACCUCCCUGCUCCCGCCUCCCCCAGCCCGCCCCCGGCCCCACGCCCCGUUGA